AAGAAGCAAAUAUUACUCUAGUUCUUAUCACCUAUAGCAACCAAUAAACAGGUUGAAUUUACUUGUCACACGUUUACCAGAAAACAUCUCCUUGGAUGCUGUUGUUUACUGCACUUGUGCCAGCUUUGUGCCUUUUAUUACAUAUGGGGGGGGGGGGAUAUAGACACAUUUAUAUGAAUAUAAGGCCAAUGAUUUGAGAGGAAACUUCUUCCUGACCUUUCACCACCUAAUGUCCCAGACCCACUAGAGUCAGUUUAAUUGUUGGCUUGAAGGGAUGAUUUUAAGGGACAAAGUUGAAAACAAGGAACAGGUUAUAUGAAAAUGACGAGAUAAUGAAAAAAAGGGAAUAAAUGUUAUUUAUGUAUUCGAAUUCACUAAGCACUGUAAUCUCAAUCCAUUCGAGUUUUCCAGUGCCCCACAUUGGCUGGGGCAAGCGCAUAAACAGUACAGAACUCUAAAAUCACUAUAGUGCACAUGUGUCCCUACUAGAAGUCACACCAGGGACACCUGGGAAGAAGAAGAAGAUGGUGGCCUAGCACUUAGUGAACAUUAACUAAAGCUGAUGUGCCAGCCAGGGGUAAUAGAAUCAGAUCUUUAACAGAUCCCGAGCUCCUAACUGAGGCUGGGUCUAAAAAAGAAAAAGUGAAAGAAAGGGUCCAUCAGAGACCCCCAAGAUCUCAUCACUGGGGCCUGGUCUGUCAAGGAGAAGUAGAGAUACG